rnacentral:rRNA from 1 species
GACGAACGCUGGCGGCGUGCUUAACACAUGCAAGUCGAACGGAAAGGCCCUGCUUUUGUGGGGUGCUCGAGUGGCGAACGGGUGAGUAACACGUGAGUAACCUGCCCUUGACUUUGGGAUAACUUCAGGAAACUGGGGCUAAUACCGGAUAGGAGCUCCUGCUGCAUGGUGGGGGUUGGAAAGUUUCGGCGGUUGGGGAUGGACUCGCGGCUUAUCAGCUUGUUGGUGGGGUAGUGGCUUACCAAGGCUUUGACGGGUAGCCGGCCUGAGAGGGUGACCGGCCACAUUGGGACUGAGAUACGGCCCAGACUCCUACGGGAGGCAGCAGUGGGGAAUAUUGGACUAUGGGCGGAAGCCUGAUGCAGCAACGCCGCGUGCGGGAUGACGGCCUUCGGGUUGUAAACCGUUUUCGCCUGUGACGAAGCGUGAGUGACGGUAAUGGGUAAAGAAGCACCGGCUAACUACGUG